rnacentral:misc_RNA from 1 species
UAAAGGAGCAAGGACUUGAUAUCAAACCGCGUAUUCUUAUUGUUACUCGGCUUCUCCCUGAUGCAGUUGGUACCACUUGUGGUCAGCGACUCGAGAAGGUAUUUGGAACUGAGCAUUCACAUAUUCUUAGGGUCCCCUUUAGGACUGAAAAGGGCAUUGUUCGCAAAUGGAUCUCUCGUUUUGAAGUCUGGCCAUACAUGGAGACUUUCAUUGAGGAUGUGGGGAAAGAAAUAACCGCAGAACUGCAAGCUAAGCCAGAUCUUAUUAUUGGAAACUAUAGUGAGGGAAACCUUGCAGCCUCCUUGUUGGCUCACAAGUUAGGUGUAACACAGUGCACCAUUGCUCAUGCAUUGGAGAAAACCAAAUAUCCUGAUUCUGACAUUUACUUGAACAAAUUUGACGAGAAAUACCACUUCUCAGCUCAGUUCACAGCUGAUCUUAUAGCAAUG